UACGGAGGGAGCUAGCGUUGUUCGGAAUUACUGGGCGUAAAGCGCGCGUAGGCGGCUUUGUAAGUCGGAGGUGAAAUCCCACGGCUCAACCGUGGACACGCCUUCGAAACUGUGAAGCUUGAGGCUGGGAGAGGAGAUCGGAAUUCCAGGUGUAGCGGUGAAAUGCGUAGAUAUCUGGAGGAACACCGGUGGCGAAGGCGGCAUCCUGGACCGGCAUUGACGCUGAGGCGCGAAAGCGUGGGGAGCAAACAGG
rnacentral:rRNA from 1 species